CCCAUCUUAGGGUCGUACCUGGAGAGUUUCUAGUACUCUACCAGUCUUGACUAUGAGAGGGUGAGUCGAGCAGAGGUAUACUCAUUCCAUUCCUAGCUUGAGCGGUGACUAGCAAGUGGAAAGCAAUCUGCUACAAGU